UUUUCAUUAGCUUAAGAGCUAACCCCAUCCGAAACCUAAUGAAACAUCAAACGACCACGAGACUCCAUCAAAACAACAAGCAACCCCGCGUCUCCACCAAAUAAAGCUUUAAAUUUAAAACCCGUUCUUGUAGCAAUGGCGUGUCCACGCUAUCCACGUCGCACCAUCGAGGUCUUCCGCAAAGUUUCGCAAUAAAAUUUAACGCUGAUUGUUGUCACGAUAUAGCCCGGUUACGGGGACCACCAUAAGGUGGAGGCAAUUUGUCCACUGCAACGGACGGAGAAGGGUUGGCACACAAUAAAUUGCGAAUGUCCCUUCUUUGCUACUGAGGCUUAAAUUUAGCUGUCAUUUUUUUCCCUCCUCGACACUCAUCACAAAACUCAGGAGGCUGCUGGGAAACCAACGAUCACCAAGCGCGAGCCGUAACUAUGGCACCCAUGGUAACCGCCAAAUAACAAUCGCGAAGUUAUAAAGGUCGAGUCUCGCUGCUGAUCAGCUCAAACCGUUCCUGGCGUUUGGUGAGAACAGACCUACAAUUCAAUUAGCUCCGCCUUCUCUCGCCUUUUUUCUUUCAGGUCCUGAUGGGAUCCUGCUUGGGCUGUUGCGUUGGGGGAAGGGAAUCCCGCCGACAUGGGCGGAAGGCCACUGCGGAAGUUGGCACAGGGGAUCGGAGUGUGGCCAAUGAGGAGACCCCGAGGAAUAUGGUGACAAAACCGACCGACUAUGACGGACGCGACGAGGUGGUUCCGAAGCCGGAUCCACCGGAGUCGGAACAAAAUUACAUUUCUCUUGACAUUUUGGAAAAUUCCGACUCUCCGGUGGAUUCGGUUCCGGAACCAUCGAAAAUUGACAAUUUAUUAAAUGAAUCUUUAGAACAAACCGCGGCGGUUCCACCGAUUGUGGAACCGUCUGCGGAUGUAAAUUUUAUUUCUCUUCCAGAUUCAAUUGGUUGGUUUCUGGGUGACGAAGCCGUCACGUUGGUUCCGGUGGUGGUGAUUCCGAUGCCGGAUUCACCGGAAGAUGGUUCCGGUGUGAAUCCGGUACCGGAACCACCGGCACAAAUUGAAAUUUCCCAAUUGAAUUCCCAAAAUUUAGAUUUUUCGGCAUCAUUUCUUUCCAAAUUUGACAUUUUAGGCUCCUGUCAAAAUUCGGGUUCGGCUACUGUUCCAUGGUUGCUUCGAUCGGAGCAUUCGAAAUUUGUCAGUUUGGUACUUUUUUUGCUUUGUGGCAUGACGUAUACUUUUUAUGUUGCUGUUGCAUACUUUUAUUGGUUUUACUGUUUGCGGUUAUUGUUAUCUGUUCUUGAUUAAUCGUUUUUGUUCUUGUUUCUAUUUUCAUGAGAGGUUCCCUGUUACUGGCGUUACUGGCGUUACUGAAGUUCGAUAGUUUUCGAUGUUACUGUGGAUGAAUUUGGAGAAACUAUUGUGAUCGAGUGAAGACCGACUGGCGGACCGACCAAUCGGAAGGGUUGAAAUUGAUGGAAUUAUCGAUUGUCUUGGCGAGGAUCCAAUUUGUGGAGUGCGCGAUGGAUAUCCGGAGCAGCAGUUUGGUGGCUGGAACUGAAGCAUUAGUUUUAGUAAUUGACAUGUACGAUUGAAUUGUAAUAUGUAAUUUCAUUCUUUUGAAUAAAUGUUAUUAUUCAAAAUGAUGAGAAUUGUUUAUUUAUUCUGCUUGGUUUUACUUUUCUUA